GCAUUUAAAGGAGAAAUCUGAACACAACCUACAAAAUCUCUCUCACAUUUCCGCCGCUCCUUUCCUGAAAUCUGAACACAAUCCGUUGAGGAAAAGGGUUAAUCUUCUGCGAAACCAGCAUGAGAGCUAAGUGGAAGAAGAAGCGUAUGAGGAGGUUGAAGAGGAAGAGACGAAAGAUGAGACAGCGAUCUAAGUAGUUUCGGAAACUGUUCUGUCUUUCUUCCUUUUAAAAACCAAUACUUGUGGGAGUUUUGUUGGUUUACUGUUUGAAUUUGAAUGCUAUGUUGGACCAAUAUUAUGUUUAUUACAUGGAAGGUAUCCUUUAUUUUCUAAA